CCCGACUUUGUGUUUGCUCAAUGACACUACUCACCUGAACCAGAAAAAAUAUCAAAAAGUGGUCAGAGAUAUCAUCAUAAAUUCAAAUUACUUACAUAAAAAAUUGGCCCUAAAUGUUUCCAGAAAUCAAUAAAAGUUUUGUUUCUCCAAACACAUCAUUUCUUCAGAAACCCAACGUGUAUAACCUGUUUUUUCUAUGUUCUUCUAACAUUCAUUCAAUUUCUCUCAUCUGAUAUCUUGCCAAAUCAUUCAAAGAGAAAAUAUAUCCCAUUAGUCAAGAGCCAACCAUAUUCCCAUCACCUGAGAAAAUCAUAUGCACAGGAUGCGCCCACCUCACCUUUCUCUGCCUCAUCAUGUCAGAAAAAGUACCCCUCCUUUUGUCACAAGGCAAACCUGAGAUAAAAGAUUUAGAUGGCCUGUAAUUCCAGCACUAAGGGAGGCCAAUGCAUGCAGAUUAUUUGAGUCUAAAAAAGAAGCCUAAGCAACUUAGGGAAACUGCAUCUCUCAAACAAAUACAAACCAUUAGCCUAGCAUGGUGGUGUGGUGGCACAUGCCUAUAGUCCCAGCUACUCAGGGUGGGGAGCACUGAGGUGGGAGGAUCACCUAAGCUGGAAGGUUGUGGCUGCAGUGAGCCGUGAUCACGUCACUGCACUCCAGCCAGGGUAACAGAUAUUUUUAAAAGGAUCUUCUCUGUUAAAAAUAAUCAAAUAAACAGGUGGCCAUGAGGCUGAGGUGGCUGCAGUGCACUCAAUUCCUCCUUAAAUAACCCAAAACUUGACUCAGUGUAAAUAAUAAAAGGAAACUUAAGUUUAACCAGUCAGAAACCACCAACUAACAUCUAACUAGAGACUUUCCACUGUAAUGUUCCAAAUGAGGCCACUGCUCCACUUUACCCAAUCAAGUAUUUUCUUUUUCUUCCACAUUCACCAUAUAAAAUUCUUCCCCCACCCUCCCUCUCUGUUGGAACUCUGAGCUGCUUGCAGUCUGGAGCUGCCUAGUUUAUACAUUUCUGAAUGCUCAAAUAUAUUUUCUAAUGUUUCAAAGUGGCUCUGGUGUAGGAGGUUAUUGGUGGAGUGACCUGAGAGUGUACAGGAAUUGAGGCCAUAUGAGAUCUCUGGACCCUGUACUCCAUUUUGCUGUACACUCAAUACUACUCUAAAAUAAUAAUAUAUCUUUAAAAAUCUAUAACUAUCACGUAGCCCUUUUCAAGUCUCCAACUGGUUGGAGCCAGUUCGAUUAAAGCUCAGAAAAAACUGGUUAAUAAGCUAGUUCUGACCCAACUGGCAAGAAGCGGCAGGAAAGACCCAGGCCACGGGAGUAUAUUGCACAUGCAUGCACCAGGAAACUGGAGGAAGCUUGGAGGCCCUUUAGCCUGGUCCUGAGCCCGCUGAAACUGCAGUUACAGGCACAGAUGUCUGGGGCACCAAUCUGAAUCUGCCAACAUCCAAGGCCACAUGAACACAAAUGCGCAGUCUCCUCUGCGAUCGGUAGCUAAGGAUGUUAGGCCAUGAUUGGACUAGGAUGGGAGAUGAACUGAGAACUCUGGAUUCUGUAGGUUGUUGUUGUCUCUUCCCACACCCAAGCAACAAGUGAUGAACACACACACACACACACACACACACACACACACACACAUCCCGUAGUGACUAACAGGAUCUCCCUCCAGGGGAUUUGCAGGAAGGGGAGCAGAAAACAUCCCAGGGGCCUUUCACAGCUACUUCCUUGAGCCCCCUUUCAGACAGUGCUGUCUAGACCUGUCUCAGCCCAAGCAUCACCACCCUGAUAUGCAGAAGCUGGCAUCCUUACCUGAAAUUCAACAUCAAGAAAUGAUCUCUUCUACUCAACACUGAUAGAAAUACCUCUAAGCAACGUCCUCAUUGGCAGGGGUGGAGUGGGGGAGUUUCUUAAAAAGUGAGGCCUCUGCCUACCACCUAGAGAACCUGGAAAUUUCCAUCUGUGCCACCAAGUCCAAAUCACUGGCCACUGCCCCAGUGUAUGGCAGAUUAGAAUAUCUCUCCAUUGGAUCUGGGUUUCUAUUCCAUUGAGUGAAAUGCCUUUUCUACUACAGGAACAGAAUAAGGGAUCAAAAGGGUCUUACAACUGAACUCCAGUGUACAGUCUGCACAGACACUAGGCUUGUGCAAAUAUGACACAGCGAGGCCCCAGGACCCUUAAGCCAGCUGAAUGUACUGAGUUUCAGGAAACAGUGAGAUACAUUCAGCAAAACAGUGGGCUUCAUGCUGAAAGAAGUCAAUCCAAGUAAACACACAUCACACACACACACACACACACACACACACACACACGCACGCAGACACCCUAGUGGCCAAUAGGUCCUCUCACCAAAAACCUGUGAUCAGGAGAGCAGAAAGCCUCCCAGGGCUCCACCACUGCCCUUUCUGUAGCCCCUUAUCAGACGGCCAGCCUCAGGACAGCACUGUCUGAUCCUGGUCCAGCCCAAACCGCCAUCACCCUGUGAUGUGGGAGCAGGCCACUUCACCAGAACCUCUGUGGCAGAAAAAUUUCUCUUUCUUUUAAAAUGAUGAGGGGGAACCUUCAGACAGUGUCCUGAUUAGGGUGGGUGGAGAGGGGGGUUUCCCAGAAAGUCAGGCAGGGCAGGGCAGAAGCCCUCUGGGUUAACUGUGUGCUUUUGAUAUGAAGGCAGGUAAGACUGGACAGGUGGGGGUGUUAGUGAGGGGAUGGACUAGGGUGUGCUGAAGAACUCCACUUGGGCUCUGCACACCAGGGAAAAUGACCACAAAACAUCCCAUCUUCACUGCUCAGAGAAGGCUAGAUCUGCUGUGAGCUAGGAAGCCAUGUGGGGGCAGCUGAUGAGUCAUCAAAUGGGAGAAAUCUGAGAGCCAUGUGUUCCACAGGCCUCUGGUCCUUGUUCAGGCAGCAGGGCACUGUGAGAUGUGGCUCCUUGGCCCUUUCCAGCCACCACCUUGAUUGCCUGCUACAAGGAAAGAGACUGAAGCCCAAGAAUGGGGUCUUGCUCACCAUAGGAUGAUGGCUCAGUGUGCAGAGCUGAGCUAUGGCCCAAGAGGCAGAAGGUGGGGAUGACCCAGGCUGAGCUGGGGGAUCCAACUGAACAUGCACUUGCUAAGAAGCUGUGGGCUAUGAUGCCUUGGGACCCCAGUCUGGGUCUAGAAUUGUAGCAAAACAGGCUACUGGUAAAAGUUCUUGGGAAGCCAACUCACUUUUGCUUUCAUCCGUGGGCAAACAAACCUCUGAUCAACCACACCACAAUGGUGUCACUCUGUAAGGCACAGGUAGACAAGGCAUCCAGCCUUGCACACUCCAGGGCCCACACAUGUCCAGAAUACAAUGGUUCUUGUUGAGACUCCACUCUUCCAACUCAGACAGAAGCUCCCCAAUGUCCUCAGCCACUCCCAACAACUGGAGGUCUGAAAACUUUCAUGCAUGCCGCUAUGGUCUAAACCACUCGUGGUGGUUUUGAUUUUCAUUUUCCUGAUAAUCAGUGAUGCUAAGCACCUUUCCAUAUGCCUUUUCACCAACUGGAUAUCUUCUUUGGCUAAAUGUCUAUUGAAAUCCAUUGCCCAUUUACAAAUCUGCUUUUUUGUGGGCUUCUUGAUGUUUUUUUUUUUUCCUAUUUAUUUAUACAAGUUCCUUAGAUAUUUUGGAUAUUUUUAAAAAUGAUUUUCAAUUCCAUUGCCCAGUUAUAAAUCUUUUUUUUUUUUUUUUUUUUUGAGACAGAGUUUUGCUGUUGUUGUCCAGGCUAGAGUGCAAUGGUGCAAUCUUGGUUCACAGCAACCUCCACCUCCCAAAGUCAAGCAAUUCUCCUGCCUCAGCCUCCUGAGUAGCUGGGAUUACAGGCAUGUGCCACCAUGCCCGGCUAAUUUUUGCAUUUUUAGUAGAGGCAGGGUUUCUCCAUGUUGGUCAGGCUGGUCUUGAACUCCCGGUCUCAGGUGAUCUGUCCACCUUGGCCUCCCAAAGUGCUGGGAUUACAGGCAUGAGCCACUUGCCCAGCCAAUUAUCCCUUUUUGUGGUUUUUUUUUUGGGGGGGUAGGGGGGAAGAACAGAGUCUCGCUCUGUCACCCAGUCUAGAGUGCACUGGUGUGAUCUCGGCUCACUGCAGCCUCCGCCUCCCAGAUUCCAGCAAUUCUCCUGACUCAGUUUCCCGGGUAGCUAAGAUUACGGGCGCGCAACACAUGCCCAGCUAAUUUUUGUAUUUUUAGUAGAGACGGGGUUUCACCAUGUUGGCCAGGCUGGUCUCAAACUCCUGACCUCAGGUGAUCCACCCACCUCCCAAAGUGUUGGGAUUACAGGCGGGAGCCACCACUCCCGGCCCCAUUUUGUGUUUUAACAUCAGUCGACACUCGUAUUUUAAAAUAAUAACAAUGAAUGGCGGUACCUUAGAACAAGGGAAUUAUACAUCUUUCUCUUGUCCUAGUGCAGACAUUUUGUCUAUAAAAUGUUAUUCACAGAUGAAUUCAUGAAAACAUUACUGUGAAUUUUAAAUCCAUAUACAAGUGUAUGCUUGUUCAUGAAUACUUCAAUAAAAUAAAACUAAUAGCAAAAAAGAAUUCCAGAGUUGAAGCAGUUUCAGGAAAAAGGAGUUGGUUGGCAGUAUGAAGUAAAAUAGCAAAAAAUGGGUUUUUUUUAAAUGGGUAUAUUUGUGUCUACAACUUUUUUUUAAUUAUAGCAUUAGACAAUGUGUAUAUAUAUAUGCAUAUAUAAAGCAAUGAAAGUGGCAUUGUUUUCAUACUAGUCUAGGAUAUUAAAAUAUAUGUAAUAUGUGAUUGGCAAAAUAAUGGCCCCCCAAAGAUGUCCACAGAUUCCUAGAACCUUACAUGAAAACGGUACAUCAUGCAUGUGAUUCAGGUAAAGACCUUGACAUGAGGAGACUACCCUGGUGCUAUGGAGUGAACGUUGUGUUCCAUCAAUGUUCAUGUGUUAAAAUCCUAACCCUCAAGGUGAUGGUAUUAGGAGGUUAAGCCUUACGGGAGACUCUGCCCUCAUGACUGGGAUUAGCACCUUAUUAAAGGCACAAGGGAGCUUGUUUGUUCCUCUCACCAUGCGAAGACACAGCAAGAAGGAAGCCUCUAUGAGAAAGCAGGCCUUCACCAGACACCAAGACUGCCGGCACCUUGAUCUUGCACUUCUCAGCCUCCAGGACUGUGAGAAACAAAGUUCUGUUAUUUAUAAGCUACCUGGUCUAAUGCAUUUCCUUGUAGCAGCCUGUAUGGAUUAGGACAGUGGGCUCAUGUGGAUGAUGACGGUGUCUCCAUUCAGGACUAAGUAAGCACAUGAGUCCUUAACAGUGGAAGAGAAGGGGGAAGGAAAGAGCCACAGAGACAUGUGGCCACAGAAGAAGAGUCCAUGGGAUGCAAGGUUGCUAAUGGUGAGAGUGGAGAAGAGCCCAAAGCCAAAAAAUGCAGGCAGACUCCAGAAUGUGGAAAAGGCGAGAAAAAAGAUCCCCUAGAGCCUCUAGAGAUGAAGGUAGCCUUUCCACCACCUAGAUUUUAGCCCAGUGAGAUCCACAUCAUACUCUGACAUACAGGAGUGUAAUAAAUUUGUUUUAUGCCCUGACAUAGUGGUAGUUUGUUGUAGCAGCAAUGGACUAGUAAUAUAUAAAUAUAUAUACACACACACACACACAAACACUACCCCCCCCCACACACACACACACAUAACUAUAUAUAUCCUACCCUUCAAAAUUGAAGCAGAUAAACUACACAUUAGCAUUAACUUAGCUGGGUGUAGUGGAUCAUGCCUGUAGUCCCAGCUACUCAGGAGGCUGAGAGGGAGGAUCAUGUGAGCCCAGGAGUUUAAGAUCAGCCUGGGCAAACACACUGAGGCCACAUUUCAAAAACAAACAAACAAACAAAACACAACAAAUCUUUGAUUAAGCUCAUUUCCCAAAUUUGAAGAGGAGACAAUUAUUAGAUAAAGAGGAGAAAAGAGAAAGGUAGAGCUGCUGACUUCUGUGGUGGAAGCAGAGGCACAGGCCCAAACAUACUCCUUUCCUCCUGGCUUUCCUGUCCCUUCUCAUAAGGGACACAUGAACCUCUCAAACUGAACCAUGGAUCACAGACCCAUACUCAGAACUCAAUACAGUUUUGUUCUAUGAUUUUUUACAUGUCUGUGUCCUUGCUUCUGCCUCCCAUUCCCAACUCCCUUGCUCUAGUUAGAAAAAAUGGCUAUUACCAAAUAUGAGUACAUCCUCAUAUACUAAUGCCAACUGAUCAUCACCUGGUUUUCUUCUUUUACAAAGUCAUAAAUCUUUAGACUUUAACACAUCUUCCAAGCAAUAGAAUGUUAUUUUCCAGUCCAUUAACACAAAUUCUAUAUUUAAAAUGAAGACUUCACAAGUUGAUUUAAAUAACAUAUUAACCAACAUAGACUGGCCAUGGUUCAAACUGACAUUUUAAUUAAAUGUGAUGAUAGGUUGAGUAACCUAGCAGUACUCUAAAAUGACUUUUGGUUAUGGCUUUUUCCAUAUUAUGUUUAGGCUGAGGCAUCCCUAAAUGAUUCAACUGUAAUUCCUCUUCUUAAACAUGAGAUUUAUCUUUACAAAAUAAUUUAUUUUCUUAAAAUUACAAGUUAAUUCUAUAGUUCAUGCAUACAUAAUCUCAGCAGAUAUCAGCUGUAUGUGUACACACAUACAUAUAGGUAUUUGUAUAUACACACAUUACAUAAUUUUUUAAAAAACUUAUUAGUAGGGUAGAACCACGAAGACAAAGAGGCUUUGUGUAAUGUGAUGGAAACACAUUUGCAGGACGAACAACAGGCUGCUGUGAGGGCUGCAUUUACCCUUUCUACUGUAAGACUUGGAAAAACAUGGAUAGUGGAUAUUUAAUCCGCAUAACAGAAAUUUCAGGGUGCAGAAAACUUCCCACAAUUUUUACAGAUAAUGUCAACAGACAGGCAUUCAAUGCAGGGAAUACACAGUGUGACAGUAUACAAAAAUAAGCAGGUUGAUGGUUUAGAUUUAUGAGACAAGAGAAAGAAAUAGAUGAUGCCAUAAUUCUCCUUUUAUGGAGUUAUGAAAAUUGUUCAUUUUAUAUAAGGUCAGGUGCUUUCAAAUGUCAAUGAGAAAAAUAUUUAAAGGAAGAAUCAAAUCUAAGACGUGGAGAGAUCUUUAUAAAAAUGACCUUCAGGCCAGGCACGGUGGCUCACACCUGUAAUCCCAACACUUUGGGAGGCCAAGGUGGGUGGAUCACAAGGUCGGGGGAUCGAGACCAUCCUGGCCAACAUGGUAAAACCCCGUCUCUACUAAAACACAAAAAAUUAGCCGGGAGUGGUGGUGUGUGCCUGUAGUCCCAGCUACUUGGGAGGCUGAGGCAGGAGAACUGCUUGAAGCCGGGAGGCAGAGGUUGCAGUGAGCUGAGAGCACCACUGCACUCCAGCCUGGCAACAGAGCAAGACUCCAUCUCAAAAAAAAAGAAAAAAAAAAAAUUACCUUCAUUCUGAGAAGGUAUAAUCAUCAACACAUUCUUGAGCACAACUAUGCACAUACACACUUCCAAAUUCACAAACCAUGCUUGUGCACACACUGAUGUCUCUAGAUUCCUUUUUUGAAGAGAUGGCAACUUGGUGUGUCACCCAGGCUGGAGAGCAGUGUUAGGAUCAUAGCUCACUGCAGCCUCAAACUACUGGGGUCACGUGAUCCUCCUACAUCAGGCUCCUCAGUAGCCUGAACUAUAGGAAUGAGCCACCAUGCCCAGCCAAUGUUUUCAUUUUUUUGUAGAGAUGAAAUCUUGCUAUAUUGCCCAGGCUGGUCUUGAACUCCUAGCCCCAAGGAAUCCUCCUGCCUUGCCCUCCAAACGUGCUGAGAUUACAGGUGUGAACCAUUGUGCCCAGCAACUGGAUUCUUUAUUAAGAAGAAAAUUUGUUUGCUGACAUGUAGGCAAUGAAUUGAUAAAUAAUAGUUCAGAAAUUACUAAUUUACAAGUCAAUAUAAAUGAGGUGAGUAAACACAAAAAUAACAGCAUAAUAAUACUUUGCUGCCUUUUGUGUAGCUUCUUCUCAGUACUUCACCAGUUGGGAUUGACA
rnacentral:lncRNA from 10 species